UGAAAAUAUCACCGUAUAUUUGAUGAAAUAAGUUACAAUUAACUAUACACGCAGACUGUAAUGAGAUUGGGAAAGGGAAUAAAAAGGGCGGAGUUGUAGUAUGAUCUGAGCAUGGAAAGGGAAAGAAUAAAUGCCCAUUGGUCAUGGAGAGUUCAUUGGAAUGUUUAAACAUUCCAUGUGUGUCCCCUUUGUUCUAAUGAUCAU